ACAAGUUCAGAGCCCCCAUCCAAUCUGGCUUUCAUCAUAAAUUUUGAAAAUUAGUUUUAUAUGUCAGAAACUCAAAUUUGGUCACCUCGUAUCUAAUGUAAAAUCUUAAAAGGAAAAUUUUGUUUGCAUAUGUGUGUCCUCACAUGAACUGUUAUGUUGUGCAGCCAUGCAUGCUUGUGUGAGAGAAACAAAGUGAGAGGUGAAAGAUCAUCAGAUUUUUCAUGUAACAACCUCUCUGUCUCUAAAAUAAGAAGCUGUCUAAUGUUAAAUUACUUAAUUUAUGAAUAGUUGACUGAAUGAUUUAGACCUCCCACCUUUUCUAUUCUGGUGUUUUCUUUUUUUCUCAAUUUAUUUAUUCGAUAUUCCUUAUUUAUCUAAAUAGACUACAUGGGCUAAAAGUAAUCAUGUUGACGAUGAACCAGUUGAGGAAAUUAAUAAUUAUGCUUUGAAAUCAUGAAUAGUUCUAGGUUGGAGACAUCAUUGAUUUAGAAGUAUCCUAUAACUUCACAUAAAUAAUGUGGGUAGUAUUAUUUGAUAGCUAUGGUUUUAUCCCUUUUGCUUGGUUCCAGGCUCAAAGAUCACACAGAUGCUCAAGUGCAAAUGUAGAGUAUCUAAUACAAGCACAGCCAAAGAUCUUAUACCCUUUUUCUUUUUUAUGUUUCAAAUCAAACUGAAGAUCUUAUGUGCAACAUUUAGCACAUUAUUACUUCUAGGAAAUUGAACAUGGAUUUGAUGGAACAACUCAAUAAUCAAUUCAAUGCAGGAACUAACAUAAUUCUCAAUCGCAACCAGCUCUCCAAAUUCAAGGAAAACAGACCAAAAAAGAGCCAAGAUCUUGUAAAUCUAAUUGU
rnacentral:misc_RNA from 1 species